rnacentral:rRNA from 1 species
UCCUUAGAUGUUCUGGGCCGCACGCGUGCUACACUGAACGGUUCAAUGGGUAAGGUAGUGCGAAAGCAUGACCUAAUCUCGAAAUCCGUUCGUGCUGGGGAUAGAAGCUUGCAAUUAUCCUUCUUGAACGAGGAAUACCUUGUAAGCGUGAGUCAUCAUCUCACGCUGAAUACGUCCCUGCCCUUUGUACACACCGCCCGUCGCUCCUACCGAUUGAGUGUUCCGGUGAGGCUUUGGGAGAAUGGCCUCAACAUGAGUUUAUCGUGUUUUGCCGUUUGAACUUAGUCAAACCUUAUCACUUAGAGGAAGGAGAAAUCGUAACA